rnacentral:rRNA from 1 species
UAAGCAUAUCAAUAAGCGGAGGAAAAGAAACUAACAAGGAUUCCCCUAGUAACUGCGAGUGAAGCGGGAAAAGCUCAAAUUUAAAAUCUGGUGGUCUUUGGCCAUCCGAGUUGUAGUCUGGAGAAGUGCUUUCCGCGUUGGACCGUGUACAAGUCUCUUGGAACAGAGCGUCGUAGAGGGUGAGAAUCCCGUCUUUGACACGGACUACCAAUGCUUUGUGAUGCGCUCUCAAAGAGUCGAGUUGUUUGGGAAUGCAGCUCAAAAUGGGUGGUAAAUUCCAUCUAAAGCUAAAUAUUGGCGAGAGACCGAUAGCGAACAAGUACCGUGAGGGAAAGAUGAAAAGCACUUUGGAAAGAGAGUUAAACAGUACGUGAAAUUGCUGAAAGGGAAACGCUUGAAGUCAGUCGCGUUGGCCGGAACUCAGCCUUGCUUUUGCUAGGUGCACUUUCUGGUUGACGGGCCAGCAUCAAUUUUGAUUGUUGGAUAAAGGCUGGGGGAAUGUGGCACCUUCGGGUGUGUUAUAGCCUUCAGUCACAUACAACAGUUGGGAUUGAGGAUCUCAGCACGCCUUUAUGGCCGGGGUUCGCCCACGUUCGUGCUUAGGAUGCUGGCAUAAUGGCUUUAAUCGACCCGUCUUGAAACACGGACCAAGGAGUCUAACAUGCCUGCGAGUGUUUGGGUGGAAAACCCGAGCGCGUAAUGAAAGUGAAAGUUGGGAUCUCUGUCAUGGAGAGCACCGACGCCCGGACCUGACCUUCUGUGACGGCUCCGCGGUAGAGCAUGUAUGUUGGGACCCGAAAGAUGGUGAACUAUGCCUGAAUAGGGUGAAGCCAGAGGAAACUCUGGUGGAGGCUCGUAGCGAUUCUGACGUGCAAAUCGAUCGUCAAAUUUGGGUAUAGGGGCGAAAGACUAAUCGAACCAUCUAGUAGCUGGUUCCUG